rnacentral:rRNA from 1 species
GAUGAACGCUGGCGGCGUGCCUAAUACAUGCAAGUCGAGCGAACGGACGAGAAGCUUGCUUCUCUGAUGUUAGCGGCGGACGGGUGAGUAACACGUGGAUAACCUACCUAUAAGACUGGGAUCACUUCGGGAAACCGGAGCUAAUACCGGAUGAUCUUUUGAACCGCAUGGUUCAAAAGUGAAAGACGGUCUUGCUGUCACUUAUAGCUGGUUCCGCGCUGCAUUAGCUAGUUGGUACGGUAACGGCUUACCAAGGCAACGAUGCAUAGCCGACCUGAGAGGGUGAUCGGCCACACUGGAACUGAGACACGGUCCAGACUCCUACGGGAGGCAGCAGUAGGGAAGCGUCCGCAAUGGGCGAAAGCCUGACGGAGCAACGCCGCGUGAGUGAUGAAGGUCUUCGGAUCGUAAAACUCUGUUAUUAGGGAAGAACAUAUGUGUAAGUAACUGUGCACAUCUUGACGGUACCUAAUCAGAAAGCCACGGCUAACUACGUG